UACGAAGGGGGCUAGCGUUGCUCGGAAUCACUGGGCGUAAAGCGCACGUAGGCGGCUUGUUAAGUCAGGGGUGAAAUCCUGGAGCUCAACUCCAGAACUGCCUUUGAUACUGGCGAGCUUGAGUCCGGGAGAGGUGAGUGGAACUGCGAGUGUAGAGGUGAAAUUCGUAGAUAUUCGCAAGAACACCAGUGGCGAAGGCGGCUCACUGGCCCGGUACUGACGCUGAGGCGCGAAAGCGUGGGGAGCAAACAGG
rnacentral:rRNA from 1 species